ensembl:scaRNA
GAUCUCUCACCCAUGGGGCUGUGGAAGGGGUGGCUCCCCUCUCUCCCCAGCCAGGGUCGGAGGCCGAGAUCAGCCCUCGAGGAUCAUUAUUGGGUGGCCAUGAGCGGGCAGCUUUGUUUUCCUGUCUCAGACCUCU